UACAGAGGGUGCUAGCGUUGUUCGGAAUCAUUGGGCGUAAAGGGCGUGUAGGCGGUUUGUUAAGUCAUGUGUGAAAUCCCACGGCUCAACCGUGGAACGGCUGGGCAUACUGCGGGUCUUGAGACACCUAGGGGCGAGCGGAACAGGCGGUGGAGCGGUGAAAUGCGUAGAUAUCGCCUGGAACGCCGACGGUGAAAACAGCUCGCUGGGGGUGUUCUGACGCUGAGACACGAAAGCCAGGGGAGCGAACGGG
rnacentral:rRNA from 1 species